UACGAAGGGUGCAAGCGUUGUUCGGAUUUAUUGGGCGUAAAGCGCGCGUAGGCGGACCUGUAAGUCAGAUGUGAAAUCUCGGGGCUCAACCUCGAAACUGCGUCUGAAACUGCAGGUCUAGAAUCUUGGAGAGGGAAGGGGAAUUUCGCAUGUAGGGGUAAAAUCCGUAGAUAUGCGAAGGAACACCAGGGGCGAAGGCGCCUUCCUGGACAAGUAUUAACGCUGAGGCGCGAAAGCGUGGGGAUCAAACAGG
rnacentral:rRNA from 1 species